AACGAACGUUAGCGGCGCGCCUAACACAUGCAAGUCGAGCGAGAAAGGGCUUCGGCCCCGGUACAGCGGCGCACGGGUGAGUAACACGUAGGUAAUCUACCUCAGAGUGGGGGAUAACCUUCCGAAACGACUGCUAAUACCGCAUAAUGCAGCGGCACCGCAAGGUGACAGUUGUUAAAGGAGCAAUCCGCUUGAGGAGGAGCUUGCGGCAGAUUAGCUAGUUGGUAAGGUAAUGGCUUACUAAGGCUACGAUCUGUAUCCGGUCUAAGAGGACGGUCGGACACACUGACACUGAAUAACGGGUCAGACUCCUACGGGAGGCAGCAGUCGGGAAUUUUGGGCAAUGGGCGAAAGCCUGACCCAGCAACGCCGCGUGAAGGAUGAAGUAUUUCGGUAUGUAAACUUCGAAAGAAUGGGAAGAAUAAAUGACGGUACCAUUUAUAAGCUCCGGCUAACUACGUGCCAGCCGCCGCGGUAAGAC
rnacentral:rRNA from 1 species